CGGCCCAACCGCCCUAACGGCCAAAAACGGCCGCAGCUGCGUCAGCGCGCGCCGGGGGGGAGAAACCUUCGUCACUUCCGGUCCGUCUGAGUACUGCGGUCCGGGGGGAAUAGCCCGGCAUUAACCCCUCCGUGCCCGGCCGGCGGGGGGGAGGGGGCUUUCUCCAGCUGGGACCCGCCCCCGGGCCGGAGCCCCCCGGCUGCAGAAUGACGUCCAUGUCUCGCUCCAGCUCAUCCCGUCCUCCCAUGGGACAGGGAAGAAAAAUGGCUGCAGUGGAGUCAGUUCAGGGGCCGGUGACCUUCGAGGAGGUGGCUGUGUAUUUCACCAGGGAAGAGGGGGCUC